AGAGUUUGAUCCUGGCUCAGAAUCAACGCUGGCGGCAUGCCUAACACAUGCAAGUCGAACGCGAAAGUGGCUUCGGCCGCGAGUAGAGUGGCAAACGGGUGAGUAACGCGUGGGUGACCUGCCUUCGAGUGGGGGAUAACGUUUCGAAAGGAACGCUAAUACCGCAUAACAUCCUGUUCUUGAACGGAUGGAGAUCAAAGCCGGGGAUCGCAAGACCUGGCGCUUGAAGAGGGGCCCGCGUCCGAUUAGCUAGUUGGUGGGGUAACGGCUCACCAAGGCGACGAUCGGUAGCCGGCCUGAGAGGGCGGACGGCCACACUGGGACUGAGACACGGCCCAGACUCCUACGGGAGGCAGCAGUGGGGAAUUGUUCGCAAUGGGCGCAAGCCUGACGACGCAAUGCCGCGUGGAGGACGAAGAUCUUCGGGUCGUAAACUCCUGUCGAGCGGGACGAAUGGCCUGGGGCUUAAUACGCCCUGGGAGUGACGGUACCGCUAAAGGAAGCCCCGGCUAACUCCGUGCCAGCAGCCGCGGUAAUACGGGGGGGGCAAGCGUUGUUCGGAAUUACUGGGCGUAAAGGGCGCGUAGGCGGCCUUCUAAGUCAGACGUGAAAUCCCUCGGCUCAACCGGGGAACUGCGUCUGAUACUGGAGGGCUUGGAUCCGGGAGAGGGAUGCGGAAUUCCAGGUGUAGCGGUGAAAUGCGUAGAUAUCUGGAGGAACACCGGUGGCGAAGGCGGCAUCCUGGACCGGCAUCGACGCUGAGGCGCGAAAGCCAGGGGAGCAAACGGGAUUAGAUACCCCGGUAGUCCUGGCCCUAAACGAUGAAUGCUUGGUGUGGCGGGUAUCGAUCCCUGCCGUGCCGGAGCUAACGCGUUAAGCAUUCCGCCUGGGGAGUACGGUCGCAAAGCUGAAACUCAAAGGAAUUGACGG
rnacentral:rRNA from 1 species